GCAUCGGUAGUUCAACGGAAGAAUACUCGCUUCCCAAGCGAGUGAUUCGGGUUCGAUUCCCGGCCGAUGCA